GUGGACGCUGGCGGUAGGCCUAACACAUGCCAGUCGCACGGCAGCACAGUAAGAGCUUGCUCUUACGGGUGGCGAGUGGCGGACGGGUGAGGAAUACAUCGGAAUCUACUUUUUCGUGGGGGAUAACGUAGGGAAACUUACGCUAAUACCGCAUACGACCUACGGGUGAAAGCAGGGGAUCUUCGGACCUUGCGCGAUUGAAUGAGCCGAUGUCGGAUUAGCUAGUUGGCGGGGUAAAGGCCCACCAAGGCGACGAUCCGUAGCUGGUCUGAGAGGAUGAUCAGCCACACUGGAACUGAGACACGGUCCAGACUCCUACGGGAGGCAGCAGUGGGGAAUAUUGGACAAUGGGCGCAAGCCUGAUCCAGCCAUACCGCGUGGGUGAAGAAGGCCUUCGGGUUGUAAAGCCCUUUUGUUGGGAAAGAAAAGCAGCAGGUUAAUACCCCGCUGUUCUGACGGUACCCAAAGAAUAAGCACCGGCUAACUUCGUG
rnacentral:rRNA from 1 species